UCUAAACUUCUUUAACAUGAUAUUUGGGGUCUUUAUAUUCUGUUUUCUUCAGCUGCCAGGAAAUAAUGGUGCCUCUCACAGCAAGAGUGUCUUCCAAACACCUCCUUUUGUCAUGAAGAAAACUGGUCAAUCUGUUGCCAGAGAAAUCAACUGUUCUCACAGCAUAACCAAUUAUGAUGUCAUCCUCUGGUACAAACAGGACCAACAUAAAGCUCUGAAGCUUCUGGGAUAUCUGAAUGUAAAUAUACAGAAUGUGGAGAAGGACAUGAAAGGAAAAAUCAGCUUUGAUGGAAAUGGUCAGACACAUUCACGCCUCAACAUUUCUGAUCUUGCAUUAAAUGACAGUGGUGUGUAUUUCUGUGCUGCCAGUCAGCACAGUGCUGCAGAUUCCCCUCACGUCAAUACAAAAACUCUCCUUUAUCUGUCUGCAGAGAGACAACAUGUUGAGUCUCUCCAACACCUGCAGCUUUGAAGACUUCAGUCAGUGUUAUGACACCAGUGUGACAAAAAUACUGACAACAC